GUGGCCCAGGCGUGGCCUGCCCAUUCAUGCAGUUUUGGCAGACGAGGCGGAGCUUUGGUAAAGUGUAGCUGCGAGUGCGCUCGAUGGGUGCGGGCGACGCUACACCUCGAACCUGGUCAGGGUCGGAAGGCAGCAGCCAUAAGGGGCCUCUGGCGGGCGCCCGUUCCCAUCGAGUGCACUUUUUUGCGCGCAUUGCCGCGCGUUGCCUGCCAAGAGGGCCAA
rnacentral:SRP_RNA from 1 species